rnacentral:rRNA from 1 species
GAUGAACGCUAGCGGCAGGCUUAACACAUGCAAGUCGAGGGGCAUCAGCCGAUGUAGCAAUACAUUGGUGUUGGCGACCGGCGUAAGGGUGCGUAACGCGUGAGCAACAUGCCCGCAACAGGCGGAUAGACCGUGGAAACGCGGCGUAAACCGCCAUAGGACCAGUAGCAGCAUUGCAACAGGUUGAAAUCUUCGGAGGUUGCGGAUUGGCUCGCGUAACAUUAGCUAGAUGGAGAGGUAACGGCUCACCAUGGCUACGGAUGUUUAGGGGAACUGAGAGGUUGACCCCCCACACUGGAACUGAGACACGGUCCAGACUCCUACGGGGGCAGCAGUGGGGGAUCUUGCACAAUGGGCGAAAGCCUGAUGCAGCGACGCCGCGUGAGCGAAGAAGGCCUUGGGUUGUAAAGCUCUGUCUGGAGGGACGAAACAAAUGACGGUACCUCCGGAGGAAGCCACGGCUAACUACGUGCCAGCAGCCGAC